CGCUGGCGGCGUGCCUAAUACAUGCAAGUCGAACGGCUUUUCUAUGGAAGCUUGCUUCCACUGAGAAGAUAGUGGCGAACGGGUGAGUAACACGUGGGUAACCUGCCCAUAAGAGGGGGAUAACAUCCGGAAACGGGUGCUAAUACCGCAUAGUUUUCUUGAUCGCAUGAUUGAGAAAGGAAAGAUGGCCUUUGUGCUGUCGCUUAUGGAUGGACCCGCGGCGUAUUAGUUAGUUGGUGAGGUAACGGCUCACCAAGACGGUGAUACGUAGCUGACCUGAGAGGGUGAUCGGCCACAUUGGGACUGAGACACGGCCCAAACUCCUACGGGAGGCAGCAGUAGGGAAUCUUCCGCAAUGGACGAAAGUCUGACGGAGCAACGCCGCGUGAGUGAAGAAAAGGUUUUCGGAUCGUAAAACUCUGUUGUCAGAGAAGAACAAGUUGGAGAGUAACUGCUCCAGCCUUGACGGUAUCUGACCAGAAAGCCACGGCUAACUACGUGCCAGCAGCGGC
rnacentral:rRNA from 1 species